UGGAAACAUUAGUUACCAGAACUUGUUGUUAUGAAUAGCACAAACCAGCCAGUGGAGGCUAUUUCUGGCUACUGAGUUCCUUCUUUGAAGAUUAGCUUUUUUAAACAAGCAAUUUGUAUGUGUCCUGUAAAUAUCAGAAAAAAUGGCCAGGAACAAAAGGAGACAGUCCCUACUCAGAGGCUCCCGUUGGCGGUGUUCUUUAUCCCUGAGAAAGUGUCAAAGCAUUUUCCCAGGGUGUGUGUGUGUGUGUGUGUGUGUGUAUCUUUUCCCCCCUCUUUUAACAACAACAAAAAAAAUGGGAUCGUUCUCUGCAUUCUCCAAGCAGCUCGUUUUUCUCUCCUGGCUGCUGUCAUUUCUGAUGUCUCAGAGCACAGCCGGAGGGCGGCCCUCCCUUUCUGUCUGCCCAUGUGAUUCCGGGGUAUCGGUGCAUGUGUCUUCACGGCCCGGAUCUCGUGCGAGACUUUUUGGGUUGAGCACAACAGCAGACUCUUCGGUGGGAACAGAAACAAUCACAGAUGUCAUGAAAAGCCAUGUGGCCCCCUUUGGCUGUGUCCUAACAGGGCAUAGAGAGAGAGUGCAAGUGAAGGAGAGGUGCAGAGGGAUGGCCCUGGCAUCACGACCUGAGCCAAAAUCAAGAGUUGGAUGUUCAACUGACUGAGCCACCCAGGAGCCCUAGUGUUUCAACUAUUUUAAACUCUACGAUUUCGUGGCAUUUAGUACAUCAAAGUAGUGUGACCAUCACCACAACCAGCUUCCAGAACAUGUGUAGACAAACCCCAUACCCAUUAGAAGUCGCUCCCCACUCCUCCCAGCCCCAGGCCCCCACGAAUCAGCCUUCUGCCACUGUAGAUUUGCCUAUUGUCAAAAUAACCUACAAAUGGAAUCCUAUGAUAUGGGACCUCGUGUGUCAGUCUUCUUUCAAUGAGCACAAUGUUUUCAAGGGUCACCCACAUUGUAGCGUGGGCCUGUGCUUUCUUCCACUGUGUGCCCGAACGGUAUUCCGUCGUGUGGAUGCACAACAUCUCGUUCACCCACUUAUCAGUUGGUGGACAUUUGGUCAUUUCCACACUCUGACGGGGGGUGAAUAUUGCUGAUAAGAACAUUCCUCUGUACCUUUUUGUUUGAAUGCCUGGUUUCAAUCAUUCUGUGUAUAUAUUUGGGGCCGCAACAGCAGCUGCGGUGUUUUACAUGGCCCCCAGCAACGUGUGAGAGUUUCAGUUUCUUGACGUCCCUCCCAGCCCUUGUUAUUUUCCAUUGAAAAAAAAGAAAA